rnacentral:piRNA from 1 species
AAACAAGAUUAUUGCGCAGGCGCUGGG